UUCGUUUUUUUUUUGGCUCCACCCUUUGUUGUUUUUUGAGUUGUUGUUUUUGUUUUUGUAGCCGCCGGCCCAAAUCAGAAAAUCGGGAAGGAUGAACGAAGGUCUAAAAACGCGAAAA
rnacentral:ribozyme from 1 species